UACAGAGGUGGCAAGCGUUGUUCGGAAUUACUGGGCGUAAAGGGCGCGUAGGCGGCCUUCUAAGUCAGACGUGAAAUCCCCCGGCUUAACCUGGGAACUGCGUCUGAUACUGGGAGGCUAGAGUAUGGGAGAGGGAUGUAGAAUUCCAGGUGUAGCGGUGAAAUGCGUAGAUAUCUGGAGGAAUACCGGUGGCGAAGGCGGCAUCCUGGACCGGCAUUGACGCUGAGGCGCGAAAGCCAGGGGAGCAAAGCGGG
rnacentral:rRNA from 1 species